UAGGGAAUCUUCGGCAAUGGGCGAAAGCCUGACCGAGCAACGCCGCGUGAAUGAUGAAGGCCUUCGGGUUGUAAAAUUCCGUUAUAAGGGAAGAAUGGCUCUAGUAGGAAAUGGCUAGAGUGUGACGGUACCUUAUGAGAAAGCCACGGCUAACUACGUGCCAGCAGCCGCGGUAAUACGUAGGUGGCGAGCGUUAUCCGGAAUUAUUGGGCGUAAAGAGCGCGCAGGUGGUUGAUUAAGUCUGAUGUGAAAGCCCACGGCUUAACCGUGGAGGGUCAUUGGAAACUGGUCAACUUGAGUGCAGAAGAGGGAAGUGGAAUUCCAUGUGUAGCGGUGAAAUGCGUAGAGAUAUGGAGGAACACCAGUGGCGAAGGCGGCUUCCUGGUCUGUAACUGACACUGAGGCGCGAAAGCGUGGGGAGCAAACA
rnacentral:rRNA from 1 species